CAUGCAGUCGAGCGGGCACCUUCGGGUGUCAGCGGCAGACGGGUGAGUAACACGUGGGAACGUACCCUUCGGUUCGGAAUAACGCUGGGAAACUAGCGCUAAUACCGGAUACGCCCUUUUGGGGAAAGGUUUACUGCCGAAGGAUCGGCCCGCGUCUGAUUAGCUAGUUGGUGGGGUAACGGCCUACCAAGGCGACGAUCAGUAGCUGGUCUGAGAGGAUGAUCAGCCACACUGGGACUGAGACACGGCCCAGACUCCUACGGGAGGCAGCAGUGGGGAAUAUUGGACAAUGGGCGCAAGCCUGAUCCAGCCAUGCCGCGUGAGUGAUGAAGGCCUUAGGGUUGUAAAGCUCUUUUGUCCGGGACGAUAAUGACGGUACCGGAAGAAUAAGCCCCGGCUAACUUCGUGCC
rnacentral:rRNA from 1 species